AAAAAAAAACGAAACAACAAAAAUAGCAACAACAACAACAAAAACCCACCUCACCUCUGCUGCUACCUCUCAUGCACAGAGCCAACUCGCACGGUAUUUCUGAUGGAGAGUCAUCCAGUCUGUGGAAAGUUUUCACGUCCUGCCGAGAAACCCUCUUCACUGAGACCUGGCCCUCUUCAUUAAGAAAUUCCUGCUUUGUAUAACAAAUGGGUUUUUUUUCAAUGCUCAGACACUCAUCAUCGUCCAAUCUCCUGGAGCCAUGUGGAGGAAAGCACUCCACCUCCCUCAGAACAGAGUUUCAAUAACCGAGGACAGCUUCGACGACUCUCAGCGUCUUCUUCAGGCCAAGCCAGAGCAAACUGGCUCUGCCGUCCUCCGCAGACUGAGCGGUGUCUCCCAACAGCACUCACGUACCACCCACCUCUUCACCUGUGUGGCUGGGCUGACCCUGCCUUCAAGGAACACUUGGCUGAGCUCAUCCCUGACUUGAACAUGGACUUUGCAUGCUACUACACUUUGACCACCAGCCUGACAGUGGCAAGAGAGGAAGAUUGAGGCCCAGGCAGAGGUUUAGGGACCCCUGGCUUCUCGUGCACCACCAGCACCAUUGCCAUUUUCAGAAAGCUGCCUCCUUCCUGGGUCCUCUGAGACAUCAGGUUGAGCAGUAUUGUGGCUGUCAUCAUGAACCUUGUCAUCAGGGACAGGCUCCAGUGUGUUUGAAAUCACAGCCAGGAGACAGAUAGAUUCAAGCCACCUGCGGAGGAGGAAAACCCUGUGAUCAACAAAUGAAGCAAGACGUCCACUGUCCAUGACUGAAACAAGCUGAAGCCACCUGGUUGGAAAGGAAAUGAAAUGAAGCUUGGAGCAAGACCCCGUGAACUUAUCUGCCAUGGCUGCAGGGGUGCCUCCGCUUUGCCAUCCACCCUGGGAACACAGCUGAUGGACUCUGCUCUCGGCCACUGUCCUGGAGGGACCCCUUCCUCUGCCUCCUGUUCAGGUUCCUUAUUUCUUUCGCAAUUGUGGCAGAAGGUGCUGCUGUUUUUCACAGACAUGAGUGGGACAGGGUUUCUCUCCUAAUAUUUAUUUGCCCUCAGAGCAAGGGCUGUUCUGCAUGGACCCAGGAUUUUGAGGAAUAAGAGGAUGUCACUGCGUUUUGGGGGAUUUGGCUGUCUGGCCAGCCUUUGAGUACCGAGUGGAUACAAUAGUAGCAAAGUGAGGUCCUUCAUCACCUGCUGUUUGCACACAUCCAUUCUAGUUCAGCAACAUUUUCUGCUCGUGUGAGCAGUUACCUUUCAUGAAGCCCACGCUCAUUCUGUUAAGGGAUAAUAUUACGUGGUUUUGACCCUCAGGGUAGCCACACAUCCCCUCUGCGAUUGUCCAUUUUACUCAUUUGUUGACUCAAAAAAAUGAGACAGGUGGCAGGGCCUGCAUCGGGGACUUCUCAGUGACCCUCACCUGGA